UGGUUGAAUUCAUGGAAGCUGAACAAGCUUUAGAAAAGUCAGGAAAAAACUGGCCAAGUUCGAGCAGUGAAAUGGAAAACACUUUAUUUGUUACGUCUCAAAAUGCUGCUGAAUAUGCUGACAGCAUUCUUCAACUCGUCAAGUAUAUAAAUCAUUGGGCUCCCAAGGACGAAAAAUAAUACUUACAAAAAUUAUUUUGUAAUAAAUUGUAUUUUCUAUGGAGCAAGAGAAAAUAAUAUAAUUGUGAUUAAUUUGUUUUGGCGUGCUUACCUUAUUCAAAAUAAUAAUUACAGAAAAUAUGUUUUACAAUAAA